AUUGAACGCUGGCGGCAGGCUUAACACAUGCAAGUCGAACGGUAACAGGUAAGUACUUGUACUUAUGCUGACGAGUGGCGGACGGGUGAGUAAUGCUUGGGGAUCUGGCUUAUGGAGGGGGAUAACGACGGGAAACUGUCGCUAAUACCGCGUAGAAUCGGGAGAUGAAAGUGUGGGACCUUCGGGCCACAUGCCAUAGGAUGAACCCAAGUGGGAUUAGGUAGUUGGUGGGGUAAUGGCCUACCAAGCCGACGAUCUCUAGCUGGUCUGAGAGGAUGACCAGCCACACCGGGACUGGGACACGGCCCGGACUCCUACGGGAGGCAGCAGUGGGGAAUAUUGCGCAAUGGGGGCAACCCUGACGCAGCCAUGCCGCGUGAAUGAAGAAGGCCUUCGGGUUGUAAAGUUCUUUCGGUGACGAGGAAGGUUGUUGUGUGAAUAGCGCAACAAAUUGACGUUAAUCACAGAAGAAGCACCGGCUAACUCCGUGCCAGCAGCCGCGGUAAUACGGAGGGUGCGAGCGUUAAUCGGAAUAACUGGGCGUAAAGGGCACGCAGGCGGACUUUUUAAGUGAGGUGUGAAAUCCCCGGGGCUUAACCUGGGAAUUGCAUUUCAGACUGUGGGUCUAGAGUACUUUAUGGAGGGGUAGAUUUCCACGUGUAGCGGUGAAAUGGUUUGAGAUGUGGAGGAAUAUGUGACGGCGAAUGGUGCUCCUUGGUGUAUGUACUGUGGCUCAUGUGCGAAUGCUGGGUGGAGCAACUGUUGUUGAUAUAUUGUGUUGUUUAUGGGUGAAAUGGAUGGUAAGUGUUAGCGUAGUGAAGAUCUCCAAACUUGUGUGUGGAAAGAAAGAAACAAAGUGCUAGAUGCUAUAGGAGGUUGAUUGAUAGACGAGUGUGUGCUCGUUGCUAUGUACACCAUGUGUGUGGUUAGUUAGAUGUGUUGUGUUGUGUGUGUUGUGCGUGCAAAUUUCGUGUUGCUGUGCUGCCUCUGCCUCUCAUCUGUAAAUCUGUUUGAGUAGCUGUUAAGAGUGUUAGUGUGCUGACGCUGUAUGGUGAUUGUGUGUUCUGCUCGGC
rnacentral:rRNA from 1 species